rnacentral:rRNA from 1 species
AACGUAGGAGGCGAGCGUUAUCCGGAUUUACUGGGUGUAAAGCGCGUGCAGGUGGUUCGGUAAGUUGGAUGUGAAAGCUCCUGGCUUAACUGGGAGAGGUCGUUCAAUACUACCGGACUUGAGUGUGGGAGAGGAAGGUGGAAUUCCGGGUGUAGUGGUGAAAUGCGUAGAUAUCCGGAGGAACACCAGUGGCGAAAGCGGCCUUCUGGCCCAUUACUGACACUCAUACGCGAAAGCUAGGGGAGCGAACGGG